GUAUUACUAAUAUGUUGUAACGUGUCUGUACUUUGAGAGAAGGGAUUCAGCUGAAAUUUUGAUAACACUUGUAACAUGAAUCUGUAUAAAACAAUAAAAAAAAGAAACGCAUGUCUAUGAGUAACAUGAUUUGACUUAUUAGUGUUCAAAUGGCCUUCUUUCUUGAUUUGCUUUGUAUGUACGAAGUAAAGGCGGCCGCAUCGCGUGUCGCCGACUUGGUACGUUGAACCUGUCGGGUCGAUAUAUUCCACCGUUGAUAUUCAAUCAAGUUCAAGUUUGACGAAUCGCCAUGGCUACAAAGUGCAAACACUGGUCGAUACCAUACACUUUGUCUAGCGUUCAAAGUGGUCAGUCUACACCCGAGCUGUACGAAGCACGGUAAGUGUUUAAUAAAUGAACAUUGAAUAAAAUUCCUCCUUGUACAUUAUUAGAAAUUUGAUAUUGUAGAAGAUGAAAGUACACGGUAUGAGAUCUUACAUAGAACCAACGCCUGUGCCCAAAAUGCCAGCAGGCCUUGUGGAACUAAUGGAAGGUCUUUCAAGGGAGGUGUUAAAAAAUAAUCCGAGUGAAGUAUAUAAAUUUUGUGCACAGCAUAUGAGGAACUUGCUAGUUCUGAGAGAUGGUAAACCACCUGAAAAGAAAUUAACUUUGGAACAAAAGAUAAGUAAAGCAAAUAACAUUAUAAAACGAAGAGCAGAGGAAAGACGUCGAAACUAUGAUAAUAUUAUGCGAUUAAAUGUGGACCAAGAUAAUAUAGAUCAAUCGUUUGUUAACGAUAUUGAGAUCGCGUCUAUUGUUAUAAAUGCUGAUAAUCUGAAUCAAUUUAAAGAUUCGGAAUCCCGCGAAAGUAAUCAAAAUAUUUCUGAGCAAAAUAUUGAAAAAGAGGAUAGUGAUCUGAAUACUGGAACAAACAACAAAGAUAAUGGACAUAACACUACUGAUGAAAGCGCAGUUAAAGAGGAUAACACUGAAAUCAAAACCAAUUUGCCUACAAAAGAUAAUGGUAAUAUGAACAAUGCAGUUUAUGAAACAAUUACAGAAGCUUUGGACACCGCGCAUAUCGUAAAUCAAGAGAAUAACAUUAGCGCUAUAGAUGACGAUAAAGUAAACGUUGCGCAAGCUGAUAUGAUUGUUUGCGAUAAAAGUGAAAAGGAAAUAUGCAUUAAUGUCGAAGAUAAUGAAGAUCGCAAUAAAAUAGUUCAAAAAUUAGAUAUCAAAGUCGAGAAUGAAGUAAAUCCUGAUCUUGUUAAUACCAAUAUUAAUGAGAUACCUAAUGAAGAAGUUUGCGAAUUAAGGACACCCGAAAUUAAUGUGAAGGAAGAAAAAGAACGUAAACGUGACGAUGACUCUCAGGAUAUUUCUAAAAAGGGAACGGAACAUAACAAUGUUCUCGAUACACAGGAUGCAAGUAAACAAACUAGUGAUGAUAGUGGUGAAAACAUCGAAGAGAAUGUUGAUACAACUAUCGGUGACGGUCAGACAGAUAGUGAGUCAAAUAAUGAACUCGAUAAUGAUGAUAUUAAUGAAAAUAAUUCACAAGUAAAGUACAUAGACAUAAUAGACAUCAGCACGGAUAACGAAAAAAAAGAUGAUACUAAUAACGCAGCAGUAACGAAUUAUGAAACAGAAGUUGACAGUGGCAUAUUAGAGAAGGAAGACGUUAUGAAUACAAAAACUGUCGAAGAUACAGCGCAUGUAUCACAAAAUCAAGCAGAAACGGUUGAAAAUGUCCGUCAGAUAAAUAACUUUAACCAAACGGAAGAAAAAGAUACUAAAACUAUUGUUAUAGACACUGGGGACAAUGUUGCUGAAAACGAGAAACAGGUCAUUGAGGCAACGAAUGACCUUAAUAAAUCUUUAGAGGAUAAAUCUGAAGAUAACAUAAUUAAAGUGGCGUUGGUAAGCGACCAUAAAAUUGAUGAAAUGAAUAACUGUAAUGCAGAUAUUACUGAAGUAAAUAAUGAUGAAACAAAAGAAGACUUUGAUAUAAAUAAAUUAAGUAACGACCAAAAAGAAAGUGAUAUAAAAAUAAAUAUUGACAACGAACAGCAAAAGGAAGAUAUUAAAAAUGACGCAACCAGUAAUCGGGAUAACACUGAACUCUCCAUUAAAGAAUCUGACGACAUCGAGUCAAACAAUAGUAAUGAGCCCGAAGCAAAUAUAUCAAAAAGUCCUAAGACUAUGGAUUUGGAAACAGCUGCUAUAACAAUUCAAAAAGUGUUUCGUAAUUUUCUUUUUAGAAGUAAAACGUCCAGUUUUGAGGAACCAACAAACGUUGAGUUUAACAUGUUUGGAGGUGAACCCGACACAAAGGGUGAAAGUGAUUUUACGAUUCAUAAUCAAAAUAAAGAUAGACGGGUUAUGGGUAUAAGCAGGAUGGACACUGUUUUACAAACGGUCAACGAAGAAAAAUCUUUAUCCUUAUCUACAGAUGACUCAUCUACUAUAUCGAGUGCUGCUACUGUUAUUCAAGCCCAUAUUAGAGGUUUUCUUUGCAGAAAUCGAUUGAAUCGUAACAAAAUCACUUCGAGCGCGUCUCAAGACUCAUCCCCGAUGUCUUCUGAAGCCGAUCCUGACCUUAUUAAAAAUAAAACCGUCUUAAACAUUCAUAUUGUCCCCGAAGGUGGUCAAUUUGUAAGUAGAGAUGAAAGUAUAUUAACCUCAAUGGAAUUAUCUUUGGAUGGUAGUCCACCUACUUCUGCAAAUUUGCACCCACUGGGCUAUGAUAAAAGCGAACGUAGAAAGCAAUUGAAACGGGAGGACGCAAUACAAUCGAUUUCGCCACCUAGUAACAAUAGCAGAUUAAGUGAAGAACAGGACUCUGUCAAAGAAGUGAUUGUUAAUGUGGUUGAAAAUGAGAAAGCAGAAGAGAUUAAUUCCGAAAAGCCUACUAAUUGUGAACAUGUUAGUGACAAGCAGGAUCAAAUAGAGAAUGUCCUUAAUAGUAACGAUAAAAUAGAGGCGGUAAAUAGUGUUGCUGUAGUGGAAUCUGCAGAUCCUUUACUUAAAAACGAUUUAGUACAAAAACACUCAGCCGAGGAAAUAUUAAACGAUAACGUCAAACACAGUGAAGAGCAUGAAAUAGUUAAGGAAGUAGACGGAAAAGAAGAAACUAAACAUAAGCUUGACUCGGAGCAGAAUGUUGAUUCUCAAAAAAAUGUUGCUACUACUCAAGAUGAAGUUUUAAAAAACAAUGCCGAAAAUACAACUGGAACAGAAAUAUCUUCUGACGAAUUAGAUGUGGUAACUCCUUUUACACCUACUGAAGAAAAGCUUUAUGAUUCUGACAAACCAAAGUUGCUACAUUCCGGUGAGUUCCACGAUGUAGUUCUACCGACGAAGGUGUCCCGCAAUGACACGCCAGUCGUCAGUGGUGAGUGAAGACAACUAUUAUCAGGUGAUAAACCAUUUCGUUCUACCGAGGCCAACGCAUGAGCGCUAAGUAUUUAGAUUUUCACAACGUCCUGGUGUACUUUUUAGUCUGGAACAAUUAACAAACAUUUAUUAUUUAAAUAGCUGA